UCAUGCCUACGGGGCGCAGCAGCCGCGGUAAUACGGAGGAUGCGAGCGUUAUCCGGAUUUAUUGGGUUUAAAGGGUGCGUAGGCGGGACGGUAAGUCAGCGGUAAAAAUGCGGAGCUCAACUCCGUCGAGCCGUUGAAACUGCCGUUCUUGAGUGAGCGAGAAGUAUGCGGAAUGCGUGGUGUAGCGGUGAAAUGCAUAGAUAUCACGCAGAACUCCGAUUGCGAAGGCAGCAUACCGGCGCUCAACUGACGCUGAAGCACGAAGGCAUGGGUAUCGAACAGGAUUAGAUACCCCGGUAGUCCCA
rnacentral:rRNA from 1 species